rnacentral:rRNA from 1 species
ACCCUAUAGGUUACAGAUGCUGGAAUGCUCUGUAACCCAAAGUUCCGGCGCCCUAGGAUGGAUCUGCGGCCGAUUAGGUUGUUGUUGGGGUAAUGGCCCAACAAGCCAGUAAUCGGUACGGGUUGUGGGAGCAAGAGCCCGGAGUUGGAUUCUGAGACACGAAUCCAGGCCCUACGGGGCGCAGCAGGCGCGAAAACUUUACAAUGCGGGCAACCGUGAUAAGGGAACCUCGAGUGCCUGUAAAUGCAGGCUGUUUAGGUGUUUAAAACGCACCUGGAGAAAGGGCCGGGCAAGACCGGUGCCAGCCGCCGCGGUAAUACCGGCGGCUCGAGUGGUGGCCACUUUUAUUGGGCUUAAAGCGUUCGUAGCUGGGUUGUUAAGUCUCUUGGGAAAUCUGGCGGCUUAACCGUCAGACGUCUAAGGGAUACUGGCAAUCUUGGAACCGGGAGAGGUGAGGGGUACUUCGGGGGUAGGAGUGAAAUCCUGUAAUCCUCGAGGGACCACCUGUGGCGAAGGCGCCUCACCAGAACGGCUUCGACAGUGAGGGACGAAAGCUGGGGGAGCAAACCGGAUUAGAUACCCGGGUAGUCCCAGCCGUAAACUAUGCGCGUUAGGUGUAUCGGUGACCACGAGUUACCGAGGUGCCGAAGGGAAACCGUGAAACGUGCCGCCUGGGAAGUACGGUCGCAAGGC